AGCAACAUAAAUCUGACUAGCCAUCAUUGAACACAACUUUAUCAUAGGCCUUAAAGUUUAUAAGGCUUGGUAAGAACAAGCACUGUUGGUCGCUGUCAGCAGUAGAGACUCUUUUGAGAGGUCCUGGCUCUGCUGUCUCCCAUGUGAGGUCUUGUUCAUCACACUGCUCUACAACUGCACACUCCUGUUUCCUUCCUGGAGACAGAAGGGCUUGAGGGCUCCCUCAGUUUCCUCAAGGAUGAACAAAGAUUUCCUCAAGCAGCAUGUCCAGGCUUCAGCUCGCCCCUUCACUCAGAAGACUCUCCCUGGUCUGAGAGGAGCAGCUGUAUUUGAGCUUGUAAUAUAA
rnacentral:lncRNA from 1 species